CCUACCUAUAAGACUGGGAUAACUUCGGGAAACCGGAGCUAAUACCGGAUAAUAUUUCGAACUGCAUGGUUCGAUAGUGAAAGAUGGCUUUGCUAUCACUUAUAGAUGGACCUGCGCCGUAUUAGCUAGUUGGUAAGGUAACGGCUUACCAAGGCAACGAUACGUAGCCGACCUGAGAGGGUGAUCGGCCACACUGGAACUGAGACACGGUCCAGACUCCUACGGGAGGCAGCAGUAGGGAAUCUUCCGCAAUGGGCGAAAGCCUGACGGAGCAACGCCGCGUGAGUGAUGAAGGUCUUCGGAUCGUAAAACUCUGUUAUUAGGGAAGAACAAACGUGUAAGUAACUGUGCACGUCUUGACGGUACCUAAUCAGAAAGCCACGGCUAACUACGUG
rnacentral:rRNA from 1 species